CCCAGGACACAUCCAAGUUGGCAGAACAAUCACAUUGGGGGGCUCUGGAACCAAGUGUGGGGAGUUCGAUUCCUGGUUGGAGCAGUCAAGUGAUGUAAUAAUCAGAGGAAGGGUUGGAGCAGCUUGGUGAUGUAAUAACCAUGGAGGAGGGUCCCUUUGGGGAAGGAGUAAAAGCCAUGUGGGAACCUGAGAACCAACAAGGGCACAACCUGCGAUUUACCUCCACUAGUCACUGAGGGGCCGGGGGCUAGAGGUCCAGGAUUUAGUCCGGCUAAGCUGGGACACCUGGGUUAUCAAAAAAAAAAAAAA
rnacentral:lncRNA from 1 species